UACGUAGGGUGCGAGCGUUAAUCGGAAUUACUGGGCGUAAAGCGUGCGCAGGCGGUUUUGUAAGCCAGCUGUGAAAUCCCCGGGCUUAACCUGGGAAUGGCAUUUGGGACUGCAAGGCUGGAGUUUGGCAGAGGAGACUGGAAUUCCUGGUGUAGCAGUGAAAUGCGUAGAUAUCAGGAGGAAUACCGAUGGCGAAGGCAGGUCUCUGGGCUAUAACUGACGCUCAUGCACGAAAGCGUGGGGAGCAAACAGG
rnacentral:rRNA from 1 species